CCUACGGGAGGCUGCAGUGGGGCAUAUUGGACAAUGGGGGGAACCCUGAUCCAGCGACGCCGCGUGAGUGAAGAAGUAUUUCGGUAUGUAAAGCUCUAUCAGCAGGGAAGAAAGAAAUGACGGUACCUGACUAAGAAGCCCCGGCUAACUACGUGCCAGCAGCCGCGGUAAUACGGAGGAUGCGAGCGUUAUCCGGAUUUAUUGGGUGUAAAGGGUGCGUAGGUGGAUCGUUAAGUCAGUGGUCAAAUUGAGGGGCUCAACCCCUUCCCGCCAUUGAAACUGGCGUUCUUGAGUGGGAGAGAAGUAUGCGGAAUGCGUGGUGUAGCGGUGAAAUGCAUAGAUAUCACGCAGAACCCCGAUUGCGAAGGCAGCAUGCCGGCUUCCGACUGACGCUGAAGCACGAAAGCGUGGGGAUCGAACAGGAUUAGAUACCCCUGUAGUC
rnacentral:rRNA from 1 species